rnacentral:rRNA from 1 species
AGUGGGGGAUAUUGGGCAAUGGAGGCAACUCUGACCCAGCAACGCCGCGUGAGGGAAGAAGGUUUUCGGAUUGUAAACCUCUGUCCUAGGGGACGAAGAAAGUGACGGUACCCUAGGAGGAAGCCCCGGCUAACUACGUGCCAGCAGCCGCGGUAAUACGUAGGGGGCGAGCGUUGUCCGGAAUUACUGGGCGUAAAGGGUGCGUAGGCGGUUUGGUAAGUUAGAUGUGAAAUCCCCGGGCUUAACUCGGGAGUUGCAUUUAAAACUGCUGAACUAGAGUGCAGGAGAGGAAAGCGGAAUUCCUAGUGUAGCGGUGAAAUGCGUAGAUAUUAGGAGGAACACCAGUGGCGAAGGCGGCUUUCUGGACUGUAACUGACGCUGAGGCACGAAAGCGUGGGGAGCGAACAGGAUUAGAUACCCUGGUAGUCCACGCUGUAAACGAUGAGUGCUAGGUGUCGGCAAGAGAUUGUCGGUGCCGCAGUUAACGCAUUAAGCACUCCGCCUGGGGAGUACGAUCGCAAGAUUG